GUCCGUCUUCCUGUGUCACACGGGCACAAAGAACGGAGGCUGGAGGGAGAGCGACUGGGUCGGAGCAGGGUUUUCCCCCGUUCCUCUCCCC